GGACAUAGUGGUGGUGGUGGACAGUAAGAGGACCAGAGCUAGAGAUGGGACAUAGUGGUGGUGGUGGACAGUAAGAGGACCAGAGCUAGAGAUGGGACAUAGUGGCGGUGGUGGACAGUAAGAGGACCAGAGAUAGAGAUGAGACAUAGUGGCGGUGGUGGACAGUAAGAGGACCAGAGCUAGAGAUGGGACAUAUUGGUGGUGGUGGACAGUAAGAAGACCAGAGCUAGAGAUGGGACAUAUUGGUGGUGGUGGACAGUAAGAGGACCAGAGCUAGAGAUGGGACAUAGUGGCGGUGGUGAACAGUAAGAGGACCAGAGCUAGAGAUGGGACAUAGUGGAGGUGGUGGACAGUAAGAGGACCAGAGCUAGAGAUGGGACAUAGUGGCGGUGGUGGACAGUAAGAGGACCAGAGCUAGAGAUGGGACAUAUUGGUGGUGGUGGACAGUAAGAAGACCAGAGCUAGAGAUGGGACAUAUUGGUGGUGGUGGACAGUAAGAGGACCAGAGCUAGAGAUGGGACAUAGUGGUGGUGGUGGACAGUAAGAGGACCAGAGCUAGAGAUGGGACAUAGUGGCAGUGGUGGACAGUAAGAGGACCAGAGCUAGAGAUGGGACAUAGUGGUGGUGGUGGACAGUAAGAGGACCAGAGCUAGAGAUGGGACAUAGUGGUGGUGGUGGACAGUAAGAGGACCAGAGAUAGAGAUGGGACAUAGUGGUGGUGGUGGACAGUAAGAGGACCAGAGCUAGAGAUGGGACAUAGUGGAUGGGUGGUGGACAGUAAGAGGACCAGAGCUAGAGAUGGGACAUAGUGGUGGUGGUGGACAGUAAGAGGACCAGAGCUAGAGAUGGGACAUAGUGGUGGUGGUGGACAGUAAGAGGACCAGAGCUAGAGAUGGGACAUAGUGGUGGUGGUGGACAGUAAGAGCACCAGAGCUAGAGAUGGGACAUAGUGGUGGUGGUGGACAGUAAGAGGACCAGAGCUAGAGAUGGGACAUAGUGGUGGUGGACAGUAAGAGGACCAGAGCUAGAGAUGGGACAUAGUGGUGGUGGUGGACAGUAAGAGGACCAGAGCUAGAGAUGGGACAUAGUGGUGGUGGUGGACAGUAAGAGCACCAGAGCUAGAGAUGGGACAUAGUGGAGGUGGUGGACUGUAAGAGGACCAGAGCUAGAGAUGGGACAUAGUGGAGGUGGUGGACUGUAAGAGGAGCAGAGCUAGAGAUGGGACAUAGUGGAGGUGGUGGACUGUAAGAGGACCAGAGCUAGAGAUGGGACAUAGUGGUGGUGGUGGACAGUAAGAGGACCAGAGCUAGAGAUGGGACAUAGUGGUGGUGGUGAACAGUAAGAGCACCAGAGCUAGAGAUGGGACAUAGUGGAGGUGGUGGACUGUAAGAGGACCAGAGCUAGUGAUGGGACAUAGUGGAGGUGGUGGACUGUAAGAGGACCAGAGCUAGAGAUGGGACAUAGUGGAGGUGGUGGACAGUAAGAGGAAAGUACAGUACUUCUGGUUAGGGUAGGGUCAGACAAACUGCUGCAGCUCUUCCCAACCUCCAUCACCAACCACACCAUCUGACCAGCCGCAAGGACUUGUUACAGUACACACAUACACAGACAUAGAUGCACAAACCAGACACACACACACAAACAGAUAAACAAAUA